rnacentral:rRNA from 1 species
UACGUAGGUGGCAAGCGUUAUCCGGAAUUACUGGGCGUAAAGCGCACGCAGGCGGUCUUUUAAGUUUGACGUGAAAGCUCCCGGCUUAACUGGGAGAGGUCGUUGAAGACUGGAAGACUUGAGGCAAUGAGAGGGGUGUAGAAUUCCCGGUGUAGUGGUGGAAUGCGUAGAUAUCGGGGGGAAUACCAGUGGCGGAAGCGGCACCCUAGCGUUAGCCUGACGCUCAUGUGCGAAAGCGUGGGGAGCGAACGGG